AUGCAUUCAAAGCAGUGUGUAAAGGGAAAUUUAUAGCACUAAAUGCCCACAAGAAAAAGCAGGAAAGAUCCAAAAUUGACACCCUAACAUCACAAUUAAAAGAACUAGAAAAGCAAGAGCAAACACAUUCAAAAGCUAGCAGAAGGCAAGAAAUAACUAAAAUCACAGCAGAACUGAAGGAAAUAGAGACACAAAACAGGACAUAGGCAUGGGCAAGGACUUCAUGUCUAAAACACCAAAAGAAAUGGCAACAAAAGCCAAAAUUGACAAAUGGGAUCUCAUUAAACUAAAGAGCUUCUGCACAGCAAAAGAAACUACCAUCAGAGUGAACAGGCAACCCACAAAAUGGGAGAAAAUUUUUGCAACCUACUCAUUUGACAAAGGGCUAAUAUCCAGAAUCUACAAUGAACUCAAUUAAAAAGUAUAAUGUACAAUUAAAGAUAUAAAAUUUAAAAGUAUAAUUAUAUAAAAUAAUAUUUUAUACAGCAAAGUUUGAAAGUAUUAUUUAUAUAACUAUCUUUUCCUGGGAUUAGUCUUAGAGAACUUUAAACUUUUAAAUUGAUCUUUGUAGUCUAUUCAUGUUUUCCGGCUUUUUGUUUUUAAACAUUUUGAGAAUUUGUUUAAAUAGUUAUAAGAAAGUGAAGAAAAUUAUAAAAUACCUUUUUAAUAUCCUUACUAUCAGCUUGGAAGAUCCAGUUGUUAAAUUUGUAGAAAGUUGGUGAGCUGGUUGUUAAACAGAGCCAUUAUUAAAAAUAAAAUUACAUAAAUUUACUAUUAAAUAAGUUAUAUUAAUAAAUGAAGGUAAUAAAUACUCAAAACUGAGCAAAAAAAAGAAAGGGUGUUACAGACGAUCCAUUUAAGCUCUGUCUGGCUUUCUGACCUACAGAACUUCAAGAUGAAAAAUGAGUGUUGAUUUAGCCCAUUAAGCUUAUGGUUGUUUGUUAAGCAGUAUCAGAAAACUAAUAGACGUUCUGAUGCCCAUAUCCACAAACAAGCUUCAGGCCAUUUUCAAGGUAAAUUUCCAUUUUUGGUCAUAUUCAUGCAUUUCUUAACCAUUCACUCUGUGUAAAAGUGUGCUACCU
rnacentral:lncRNA from 1 species